AGAGUUUGAUCCUGGCUCAGGACGAACGCUGGCGGCGUGCCUAACACAUGCAAGUCGAACGAAGCACUGUGGAUAGAGACUUCGGUCAAUUGAAGCUUUGACUUAGUGGCGGACGGGUGAGUAACGCGUGAGGAACCUGCCUUUCAGAGGGGGACAACAGUUGGAAACGACUGCUAAUACCGCAUGAAGCAGCGAGAUCGCAUGGUCUUGCUGCCAAAGAUUUAUCGCUGAAAGAUGGCCUCGCGUCUGAUUAGAUAGUUGGUGAGGUAACGGCUCACCAAGUCGACGAUCAGUAGCCGGACUGAGAGGUUGAACGGCCACAUUGGGACUGAGAUACGGCCCAGACUCCUACGGGAGGCAGCAGUGGGGAAUAUUGGGCAAUGGGGGAAACCCUGACCCAGCAACGCCGCGUGAAGGAAGAAGGCUUUCGGGUUGUAAACUUCUUUUACCAGGGACGAAGAACGUGACGGUACCUGGAGAAAAAGCCACGGCUAACUACGUGCCAGCAGCCGCGGU
rnacentral:rRNA from 1 species